rnacentral:tRNA from 1 species
GGCAGUGUAGCACAGUGGGUAAGGAUCUGGGCUUGUAACCGAAACGUCAUAGGUUCGAUUCCUGGAUAGGAUACUGCCA